UUCUGGGUGCUGGUUUGGCUUAGCAGAGGAGAGCAGAUGUAGGCAAGAAUGCUCAUAAAGACUCAGAAUGAAAGACCCCCGAAGCGGGAGACCCUCACUCAAGUCUCGGGAUGAUGCGACCCCCCAAGAACUCACGUACGACC
rnacentral:pre_miRNA from 14 species